ensembl:lncRNA
CGGCCCCGCGCCGCCGGGAAGCGGCGGCCGCCCGCCCGCAGAUGUCGCUGCCCCUCUGGCUGCCAUGCUGCUACCCGGCGCGGCGCCCUCUGGCUCUCCUACAUCUGCGCCCCGGUCACGCCCCCGCUUUCCCCGCCGGCUUCCCGGGGCUCGACCUGGAGCACGAAGGCAGCGCUGCCGCGGAGGGCUGCUCGGAGGCGGCGGUCGCGGCCCAGGCCUGAAGCUACAGGGGGCGCACCCCGAGCGGCCGCAAGGGCUCCAGCCCACGGGGCGGGACGUCCUGGGGCUCGCUGCGCGCUCGCCACGCCCCGGGGCCCGGCCUCUGCCAGCCCGCGCCCCAGCUCCCGUCUGGUGCGCAGGGUCCCGGCGCCGCAUCCGCUGUACCACGUAGAGCUUCGCGCCCGGGCAGUGGCCCGCCACCCCGCAUGGCCCCCGGCGAGCGAGGACGGCCAGCCCCGCGCUUCUGGAACAGCCGCGGCUGCAGGAAGGAGCCGAGCUGAGCGUAAAUAACCAGGAGUGUGGCCGGCGGAGCGUGGAGGGGGCGGCCCCGCCCCUCUGGGUUCUCCAGCCUCGCGCUGUCUGCCGAGUCGCUGGCGGGGCGCGCAUCGAGGAGAGUGCGGGGCGAGGCCAGCCGGCCUGCGCUUGGUCAGGAAAACUUCGGGACUGCGGGAAAGUUGUCUUGGGGUACGAAAGGGAGUGGAGAAGCCGAGAUGAACUUCGGACAGUGCGCAUCCAAGAACCCUAAGGAAACACAGUAGAGCUUUUCCCUUUUCCCCCUCUCCUGUCUCAGAGAGACAGGGGCGAAAGAGGGCAAUCAUUCCAGUGGGGUAAUACAUAACGAGCACUAUAGAAUAUUUGGCUAUGAUUUUUCUCUCUUACCAGAUUGAAGGUGUUUAGAGACACACUUCAGGCUCCAGGCCUAAUAAGUCAGCUAAGCGACAGCGACAUAUUCGUGUAAUUGCUCUAAGUGCUGAUCUGAAAUCAGAAGAUGCCAAACCAUGGCCGACAGGCCCGCUAUGCUCAAUACGCUAUUAGGAGAAACCCCCUUGGGUACCUCUCAGGAAAAAGAAAUAUAUACAUAUAAUUUUUUAAAAUAAUUUUCACAUAUGUGCAUACACAUACACAGUCCAACUUUCACGUCAGUGUUUCAACAUGCGGUAAAUACAUACAAUCAUCUUAAACAGAACAGGGCUUUGUGUAGCCUCCUCUGCGCUCACACACCAACACACAUACACGUGCAUCCCUUUAAUGAUAACUAAUGAGUGAUUAGGGCACACCAUUUGAUCUUUACACCCUUGUGGAUCCCCAGGUCCUAGCCAAGAAAGAUGGGCUCUGGGUAAUUUCCAUAAAAAUCAGGAAAGAACUUCCCAGAGGGUCUACCCUGGAUCUAUUUGGAGCUGAAAGGUUGCAAGCUUGCCUUUCCUUAACCAUAGAUAAUUACCGGAAAAAUAUUCGUUAACUCAGGGUUGGAGAGUUCUGGAUAUAGAUCCUGAUUCUGACUCUCAUCUGUUGUGUCUGUUCAUCCAGAGGCACUGUGUUCAUUUACUUAUCCGUCAAAUGGUUAUUUUACAGAAGAAAAAGGGGAAAGUUCUGGUACAAGUGCUCAGGGGAAAAAAGAUUCCCUGCUGAUACAAGACAUUCAGUAAAGAAAACAUUGUCCUUGCUUCAGGAAAUGAGGUGUCUUUAUUUAAAGGUGGUUAAGUGUGUGGGAUGGUGGCAGAAGGUGGGGACCAGGUAAAAGGCAGGUUUUCAAGACAGUCCUCAAGCACGGUCAAGGUGGAUUCCUGGAGGUACAGGAAUUAAGGCAGAGAAAGGCUUAAAGAAAACAGAAAUAAUAAAUCCCAGGAUAGAGGUGGUAUUAAAUGAAGAAGAAGUGGGGAAUGAGCUGAGGGAUGGGAAAGUGAGGUGGUGAGCAGCAGAGGUCAUCGAGACCAGCCUGAAACAUCCUGGGACAACUUCUAAGCCUAGAGAAGUGCUGAUGGGAAGAUCUCCUGAAAGAGCUGGCAGCUGCCAUGUUUGGUGGGGUGAUGGAAAUAGAAGCAGGCCCACCGGCUUAUCUUGCCAUCCGUGAGUUUGGACACAGGAGGACAGCAGAUCUCUUUCCUUUUGGAUUCAUGGAAAGGAUGCACUUGUGAGUCAGGGAAAGGCUCUGAGCCAUGGAAGGUUCUCUAUCUCUGUUUCCCAGUGUGGUAGCCACUUGCCACAUGUGACUAUUAAACUAUUCAACUUGCAAGGUGGCAAAUCUGAAUUGAGAUGUGCUGUGAGGUUAAAAUACACUCUGGAUUUUGAAAACUUCAUGUAAAAGUGUAGAAUGUCUGAACUACUUUUAUAUCAAUUACGUAUUGAAUUAUUUCUAUUUUGGAGAUGUAGC